UGCUUAGAACAUAGCGUUAAUGCAUCGGAUCCCAUUAGAACUCCACAGUUAAGCACGCUUAGGAUAGAGUAGUAUUGGGAUGGGUGAUUGCUCGGGAAGUCCUAGUAUUUUACAUGC
rnacentral:rRNA from 1 species